CCUACGGGAGGCUGCAGUGAGGAAUAUUGGUCAAUGGGCGAGAGCCUGAACCAGCCAAGUCGCGUGAGGGAUGACGGUCCUAUGGAUUGUAAACCUCUUUUGUCGGGGAACAAAGGCGUCCACGUGUGGAUUGAUGAGUGUACCCGAAGAAAAAGCAUCGGCUAACUCCGUGCCAGCAGCCGCGGUAAUACGGAGGAUGCGAGCGUUAUCCGGAUUUAUUGGGUUUAAAGGGUGCGUAGGGGGGACGUCAAGUCAGUGGGAAAAAUGUGGGGCCCAACCGUCGAACGGCCGUUGAAACUGGCAGUCUUGAGUGGGCGAGAAGUAUGCGGAAUGCGUGGUGUAGCGGUGAAAUGCAUAGAUAUCACGCAGAACUCCGAUUGCGAAGGCAGCAUACCGGCGCCCGACUGACGCUGAGGCACGAAAGCGUGGGUAUCGAACAGGAUUAGAUACCCUUGUAGUC
rnacentral:rRNA from 1 species